rnacentral:rRNA from 1 species
GACGAACGCUGGCGGCGUGCUUAACACAUGCAAGUCGAACGGAAAGGCCCUGCUUUUGUGGGGUGCUCGAGUGGCGAACGGGUGAGUAACUCGUGAGUAACCUGCCCUUGACUUUGGGAUAACUUCAGGAAACUGGGGCUAAUACCGGAUAGGAGCUCCUGCUGCAUGGUGGGGGUUGGAACGUUUCGGCGGUUGGGGAUGGACUCGCGGCUUAUCAGCUUGUUGGUGGGGUAGUGGCUUACCAAGGCUUUGACGGGUAGCCGGCCUGAGAGGGUGACCGGCCACAUUGGGACUGAGAUACGGCCCAGACUCCUACGGGAGGCAGCAGUGGGGAAUAUUGCACAAUGGGCGGAAGCCUGAUGCAGCAACGCCGCGUGCGGGAUGACGGCCUUCGGGUUGUAAACCGCUUUCGCCUGUGACGAAGCGUGAGUGACGGUAAUGGGUAAAGAAGCACCGGCUAACUACGUG